ACAGGUUUCGACGGGGAUUUGGAGUCAUUAGUAGCGAGUCAUGUUUUGCUUGGUAGCAUGUAAAAAACUGAGCAAUAAAUAUAAACGCAAACGAUAAUUACGCUUUAGCAGCUUAAUAAAAGCCGCUCGUUUCUACUAGGUAACCCACAGCCUAGCUAGAAACGUCAUUAUAGUGGGGAACGUCUUAAGGGUUGCCUUGACCUUAAGUUGUAUAAUUAAGGCUGGCCGAGUCUAUAUUUUGUUGUUGGAAGAUAGACAAGGCGAGAUCCAAAUCAACAACUACACUCGUAGAAGCUACUGAUAAAGGGUCUUCGGACAGGGGUUCGAUUCA
rnacentral:tmRNA from 1 species